rnacentral:rRNA from 1 species
UACGGAGGGUCCGAGCGUUAUCCGGAUUUAUUGGGUUUAAAGGGUGCGUAGGCGGUUUGAUAAGUUAGAGGUGAAAUGUCGGGGCUCAACCCCGAAACUGCCUCUAAUACUGUUGGACUAGAGAAUAGUUGCGGUAGGCGGAAUGUAUGGUGUAGCGGUGAAAUGCUUAGAGAUCAUACAGAACACCGAUUGCGAAGGCAGCUUACCAAACUAUAUCUGACGUUGAGGCACGAAAGCGUGGGUAGCAAACAGG